GUAGUAUAAGUAUAAGUAGGGAUCGUUCUGAACCGGAGAUUAGGAGGGCUUGCUAAUAACCUCUAAACUAACUCAAAAACAUAAAACUAAAUUUAAAAACACUUAACAUGACUCACAAGACUCAAAGCAAACUUAAAAUACUCAAAACAGCUUAAAACAACUAAAUAAACUUAAGGGAGACUUUGGAUGCGGUCCCUAGUUAUGAAUAAUCUUUGAUUGAAACUUUGUUGGUUUUCAAUUUUUGAUCCAAGUCCCUAAAAUUAAUUGAUAAUUUAUUUCUAUGUA
rnacentral:lncRNA from 1 species